GUCGAGAAUAUUGCAGCUUUAAUGCAGUCUACGUAUAAUAGUUACUCAAAAAGGCAGUACGGCAGAUCACUCAAGUCACGCUGAUACAUGAAUUCACAUUUCUCACGCGUGGGAUAGUAUCAACAGCCUACGUUGCAAAUGGACUAGAAGAUGCUGAGAAUAAUACGUGUUAUAUGCAAUAUGGCAGUACGGCAGUUCACU